UACGGAGGGUGCAAGCGUUAUCCGGAUUCACUGGGUUUAAAGGGUGCGUAGGUGGGUUGGUAAGUCAGUGGUGAAAUCUCCAGGCUUAACUUGGAAACUGCCAUUGAUACUAUCAAUCUUGAAUACCGUGGAGGUCAGCGGAAUAUGUCAUGUAGCGGUGAAAUGCUUAGAUAUGACAUAGAACACCGAUUGCGAAGGCAGCUCACAAAACUGUAACUGACGCUGAGGCACGAAAGCGUGGGUAUCAAACAGG
rnacentral:rRNA from 1 species